rnacentral:rRNA from 1 species
UGCAAGUCGAGCGGUAGCACAGAGAGCUUGCUCUCGGGUGACGAGCGGCGGACGGGUGAGUAAUGUCUGGGAAACUGCCUGAUGGAGGGGGAUAACUACUGGAAACGGUAGCUAAUACCGCAUAAUGUCGCAAGACCAAAGUGGGGGACCUUCGGGCCUCAUGCCAUCAGAUGUGCCCAGAUGGGAUUAGCUAGUAGGUGGGGUAACGGCUCACCUAGGCGACGAUCCCUAGCUGGUCUGAGAGGAUGACCAGCCACACUGGAACUGAGACACGGUCCAGACUCCUACGGGAGGCAGCAGUGGGGAAUAUUGCACAAUGGGCGCAAGCCUGAUGCAGCCAUGCCGCGUGUGUGAAGAAGGCCUUCGGGUUGUAAAGCACUUUCAGCGGGGAGGAAGGCGAUAAGGUUAAUAACCUUGUCGAUUGACGUUACCCGCAGAAGAAGCACCGGCUAACUCCGUGCCAGCAGCCGCGGUAAUACGGAGGGUGCAAGCGUUAAUCGGAAUUACUGGGCGUAAAGCGCACGCAGGCGGUCUGUCAAGUCGGAUGUGAAAUCCCCGGGCUCAACCUGGGAACUGCAUUCGAAACUGGCAGGCUAGAGUCUUGUAGAGGGGGGUAGAAUUCCAGGUGUAGCGGUGAAAUGCGUAGAGAUCUGGAGGAAUACCGGUGGCGAAGGCGGCCCCCUGGACAAAGACUGACGCUCAGGUGCGAAAGCGUGGGGAGCAAACAGGAUUAGAUACCCUGGUAGUCCACGCCGUAAACGAUGUCGAUUUGGAGGUUGUGCCCUUGAGGCGUGGCUUCCGGAGCUAACGCGUUAAAUCGACCGCCUGGGGAGUACGGCCGCAAGGUUAAAACUCAAAUGAAUUGACGGGGGCCCGCACAAGCGGUGGAGCAUGUGGUUUAAUUCGAUGCAACGCGAAGAACCUUACCUGGUCUUGACAUCCACAGAACUUAGCAGAGAUGCUUUGGUGCCUUCGGGAACUGUGAGACAGGUGCUGCAUGGCUGUCGUCAGCUCGUGUUGUGAAAUGUUGGGUUAAGUCCCGCAACGAGCGCAACCCUUAUCCUUUGUUGCCAGCGGUUCGGCCGGGAACUCAAAGGAGACUGCCAGUGAUAAACUGGAGGAAGGUGGGGAUGACGUCAAGUCAUCAUGGCCCUUACGACCAGGGCUACACACGUGCUACAAUGGCAUAUACAAAGAGAAGCGACCUCGCGAGAGCAAGCGGACCUCAUAAAGUAUGUCGUAGUCCGGAUUGGAGUCUGCAACUCGACUCCAUGAAGUCGGAAUCGCUAGUAAUCGUAGAUCAGAAUGCUACGGUGAAUACGUUCCCGGGCCUUGUACACACCGCCCGUCACACCAUGGGAGUGGGUUGCAAAAGAAGUAGGUAGCUUAACCUUCGGGAGGGC